rnacentral:rRNA from 1 species
UACGAAGGGGGCUAGCGUUGCUCGGAAUCACUGGGCGUAAAGCGCACGUAGGCGGCUUUUUAAGUCAGGGGUGAAAUCCUGGAGCUCAACUCCAGAACUGCCUUUGAUACUGGGAAGCUUGAGUCCGGGAGAGGUGAGUGGAACUCCGAGUGUAGAGGUGAAAUUCGUAGAUAUUCGGAAGAACACCAGUGGCGAAGGCGGCUCACUGGCCCGGUACUGACGCUGAGGCGCGAAAGCGUGGGGAGCAAACAGG